UUACGGCCACAUCAGAUUGAAACGCUGGUUCCGCACGAUCCCUGAAGUAAAGCAACGAAGAGACUGAUCAGUACAUAGAUGGGUAACCGCUUGGGAAUACCAGGUACUGUAAG